AUCUCCAGGAAAUUUCAACCUCAGGUUUCCUCCCCCUGCUGGCAGAAACCUUCUGGGUAUGUUCUCUCCCACCCCAAGACAGCCUUCUUUUCUCUUGUUUUCCUCUUUUUUCUUAAAGAAUGAGGGACGACGUUUUAGUGCACACCGUGACCCCAUUUCACUUGUUUCAAAUAGGAUCCCUAAGCAUGCUGCAGAACCAGUCCUGAAGAUCUCCAGAGUCUCCUCUCUCCAUCCCCGCUGGCCAGACCACAGCCAAGGAUGUGAAGACACCCCACCAAAGCAGCAGGCAGCGGACUUCUGUAGUCUUCAUCGAGCACUAUGAAUCUGCCUUUGAAACUCCUAUCUAGCCUCAGGGUCCUUUGGUGCCAUACCCACUGAGAGACGGGCACUGAACCAAAAGACCAAGGCUGAGUGAUGGAGGAUGCAAGUGCUGGCUACAGGCGGAGGGAGGACUUAGUAUCAGUGAAGAAGACUUUGUGGCAUCAAAUGAAUUGAGACCAGACUGAAUUGACUCACAGGUGAGUCACGGCACCGAGUAGCACAUUAGGACUGGCUGUGAAGGGCUGAGUUAGAGGACUGAAAACAUGCUGAAUAUGUGUCCCAUGUGGACAAUGAGCAGUGCCUCCACAUCCAGAAAACGGGGGACUGUGUAUACUGGAGAGCCGGAGGGCAUCUCAGAUCCACACUUAUAGCUGGAAAAUUUGACUUGCUUUGGUAAGAAUUAUUGCAGGUGGUUAGAGCGAUCCCAGGUAUUCAGAGAAGUGUAAUGGAUAACAAAUGUAGAUGCUUGUAGCAGAGCCAGAGUCUCAUGGAUUAUGGCUCUCCUCCCAGGGGUUAAAUAGGUGUAAGAAUUAAUUGAGUUAUCCAAAGUGUAAUUGGUGGCCCAGUAUUGCAUUAAAAAAAAUCCAGAAGUUUAAUGUGAAGUGGUGAUUGCUACACAAUCCCAAGGUGAGGAAAGUUUCCAGAAAUCUCUCUGAACUUUUAGAUCUUCCUGUAUCAAGGCACCUUGGAAAAUUUGUUAUUUCUAUUUUCAGCCUGACAGCAUUCUGUUGAAUUUCCACCUGGGAGGCAUACUCCAAGAACAUGCAUGCCAGUGGAAGAAAAUCAAGAUCAUUCAUGGUUCUUCUAUUAAAAUGCCUUGUCUGUCACAGGCCAGGCUGCAGAGGAUGAUGCUGUGGGGCACUGACUGUUCUUCCUGCGUACCCAGUGGUGCUUACCUGGGAAGUCACUGGAGUUCUCUGUUGUAGCUGUGUGUUUGAACCAAAUAUAUUCAGGAUUGUGGUAGACACUUCUUCUGUGUGAAGAUUUGCACGAAUGCCCUU
rnacentral:lncRNA from 1 species